rnacentral:rRNA from 1 species
CUUAAAAUAAUGUGGUGUCACAAGUAUCGGAGGCCCCGACUGUUUACUAAAAACACAAUUCAGAGCAAUAAUGCAAAUCAUAAUAUUCUGGAUGAAAUUUGCCCGAUGCCAUUAACAUAAAAAAGGUAAUGGGAAACUGUUACUAAUUGAAAGUCUGGUUAAUAGCGGUCUUAACUAUGAGGAUCCUAAGGUAGCAAAAUCAGUUGGCCAUUAAAUGUGGUCUGGUAUCAAUAGUGUAACGAUGGUCUCACUGUCUCUACAACUUGCUCAUUGAAAUUGAAUUAUCCGUGCAGAUGCGGAUUGCCUCCGGGUGGACGGGAAGACCCUAUGCAUCUUCUACUGA